AUUUAAAUAGUUUAUUAGAAAACAUUACAUUGAAGCUGUAAAGAUGGUAAAUUACCUUUGAAUA
rnacentral:tRNA from 1 species